rnacentral:rRNA from 1 species
GACGAACGCUGGCGGCGUGCCUAAUACAUGCAAGUAGAACGCACAGUUUAUACCGUAGCUUGCUCCACCAUAGACUGUGAGUUGCGAACGGGUGAGUAACGCGUAGGUAACCUGCCUGGUAGCGGGGGAUAACUAUUGGAAACGAUAGCUAAUACCGCAUAAUAUUGAUUAUUGCAUGAUAAUUGAUUGAAAGAUGCUAUUGCAUCACUACCAGAUGGACCUGCGUUGUAUUAGCUAGUAGGUGAGGUAACGGCUCACCUAGGCGACGAUACAUAGCCGACCUGAGAGGGUGAUCGGCCACACUGGGACUGAGACACGGCCCAGACUCCUACGGGAGGCAGCAGUAGGGAAUCUUCGGCAAUAGACGAAAGUCUGACCGAGCAACGCCGCGUGAGUGAAGAAGGUUUUCGGAUCGUAAAGCUCUGUUGUAAGAGAAGAACGGGUGUGAGAGUGGAAAGUUCACACUGUGACGGUAUCUUACCAGAAAGGGACGGCUAACUACGUG